rnacentral:rRNA from 1 species
GAACUGAAGAGUUUGAUCCUGGCUCAGAUUGAACGCUGGCGGAAUGCUUUACACAUGCAAGUCGAGCGGCAGCGCGGGGGCAACCCUGGCGGCGAGCGGCGAACGGGUGAGUAAUGUAUCGGAACGUACCCAGUCGUGGGGAAUAACCAGCCGAAAGGUUGGCUAAUACCGCAUACGUCCUAAGGGAGAAAGCGGGGGAUCGCAAGGCCCUCACGCGAUUGGAGCGGCCGAUAUCGGAUUAGCUAGUUGGUGAGGUAAAGGCUCACCAAGGCGACGAUCUGUAGCUGGUCUGAGAGGACGACCAGCCACACUGGAACUGAGACACGGUCCAGACUCCUACGGGAGGCAGCAGUGGGGGAAUUUCGGACAAUGGGGAAACCCUGAUCCAGCCAUUCCGCGUGAGUGAAGAAGGCCUUCGGGUUGAAAGCUCUUUCAGCAGGAACGAAACGGCUCUCUCUAACAUAGGGAGUUAAUGACGGUACCUGAAGAAGAAGCACCGGCUAACUACGUGCCAGCAGCCGCGGUAAUACGUAGGGUGCGAGCGUUAAUCGGAAUUACUGGGCGUAGCGUAGCAGGCGGCGCCAUAAGACAGAUGUGAAAUCCCCCGGGCUUAACCUGGGAACUGCGUUUGUGACUGUAGUGCUCGAGUGUGGCAGCCCGCAACGAGCGCAACCCUUGCCGCUAAUUGCCAUCAUUAAGUUGGGCACUUUAGUGGGACUGCCGGUGACAAACCGGAGGAAGGUGGGGAUGACGUCAAGUCCUCAUGGCCCUUAUGGGUAGGGCUUCACACGUCAUACAAUGGCGCAUACAGAGGGCUGCGAAACCGCGAGGUGGAGCCAAUCCCACAAAGCCGAUCGUAGUCCGGAUCGCAGUCUGCAACUCGACUGCGUGAAGUCGGAAUCGCUAGUAAUCGUGGAUCAGCAUGUCACGGUGAAUACGUUCCCCGGGUCUUGUACACACCGCCCGUCACACCAUGGGAGUGGGUUCCACCAGAAGUAGGUAGUCUAACCGCAAGGAGGGCGCUUACCACGGUGGGAUUCAUGACUGGGGUGAAGUCGUAACAAGGUAGCCGUAUCGGAAGGUGCGGCUGGAUCACCUCCUUU